rnacentral:snRNA from 1 species
AUCCCUGCACAGUGGUAGUAUCAUAGCCCAUGAGGUUAAACAGAGGUUUGAUUAUUGCUAGUUGAAAACUUUACCCAAUACCUCAUUCUUGAGGGACCUUCUGUUGGGGUGCAUGUUGGGACUGUAAGAGCUCA